GGCGGGACACGUGGUAUCCUGUCUGAAUAUGGGGGGACCAUCCUCCAAGGCUAAAUACUCCUGACUGACCGAUAGUGAACCAGUACCGUGAGGGAAAGGCGAAAAGAACCCCGGCGAGGGGAGUGAAAAAGAACCUGAAACCGUGUACGUACAAGCAGUGGGAGCCUCUUUAUGGGGUGACUGCGUACCUUUUGUAUAAUGGGUCAGCGACUUAUAUUCUGUAGCAAGGUUAACCGAAUAGGGGAGCCGAAGGGAAACCGAGUCUUAACUGGGCGUUAAGUUGCAGGGUAUAGACCCGAAACCCGGUGAUCUAGCCAUGGGCAGGUUGAAGGUUGGGUAACACUAACUGGAGGACCGAACCGACUAAUGUUGAAAAAUUAGCGGAUGACUUGUGGCUGGGGGUGAAAGGCCAAUCAAACCGGGAGAUAGCUGGUUCUCCCCGAAAGCUAUUUAGGUAGCGCCUCGUGAAUUCAUCUCCGGGGGUAGAGCACUGUUUCGGCAAGGGGGUCAUCCCGACUUACCAACCCGAUGCAAACUGCGAAUACCGGAGAAUGUUAUCACGGGAGACACACGGCGGGUGCUAACGUCCGUCGUGAAGAGGGAAACAACCCAGACCGCCAGCUAAGGUCCCAAAGUCAUGGUUAAGUGGGAAACGAUGUGGGAAGGCCCAGACAGCCAGGAUGUUGGCUUAGAAGCAGCCAUCAUUUAAAGAAAGCGUAAUAGCUCACUGGUCGAGUCGGCCUGCGCGGAAGAUGUAACGGGGCUAAACCAUGCACCGAAGCUGCGGCAGCGACACUAUG
rnacentral:rRNA from 1 species